UACGUAGGGGGCAAGCGUUGUCCGGAAUCAUUGGGCGUAAAGAGCGUGUAGGCGGCUCGGUGAGUCCGCUGUAAAAGUCCAGGGCUCAACCCUGGAAAGCCGGUGGAAACUGUCGAGCUAGAGUCCGGAAGAGGCGAGUGGAAUUCCUGGUGUAGCGGUGAAAUGCGUAGAUAUCGGGAGGAACACCUGUGGCGAAAGCGGCUCACUGGACCGCAACUGACGCUGAGGCGCGAAAGCUAGGGGAGCGAACAGG
rnacentral:rRNA from 1 species